rnacentral:rRNA from 1 species
AGUGAACGCUGGCGGUAGGCCUAACACAUGCAAGUCGAACGGCAGCACAGUAAGAGCUUGCUCUUACGGGUGGCGAGUGGCGGACGGGUGAGGAAUACAUCGGAAUCUACUUUUUCGUGGGGGAUAACGUAGGGAAACUUACGCUAAUACCGCAUACGACCUACGGGUGAAAGCAGGGGAUCUUCGGACCUUGCGCGAUUGAAUGAGCCGAUGUCGGAUUAGCUAGUUGGCGGGGUAAAGGCCCACCAAGGCGAAGAUCCGUAGCUGGUCUGAGAGGAUGAUCAGCCACACUGGAACUGAGAGACGGUCCAGACUCCUACGGGAGGCAGCAGUGGGGAAUAUUGGACAAUGGGCGAAAGCCUGAUCCAGCCAUAACGCGUGAGUGAAGAAGGCCUUCGGGUUGUAAAGCCCUUUUGUUGGGAAAGAAAAGCAGCAGGUGAAUACCCCGCUGUUCUGACGGUACCCAAAGAAUAAGCACCGGCUAACUUCGUG